rnacentral:rRNA from 1 species
GACGAACGCUGGCGGCGUGCUUAACACAUGCAAGUCGAACGGAAAGGCCCUGCUUUUGUGGGGUGCUCGAGUGGCGAACGGGUGAGUAACACGUGAGUAACCUGCCCUUGACUUUGGGAUAACUUCAGGAAACUGGGGCUAAUACCGGAUAGGAGCUCCUGCUGCAUGGUGGGGGUUGGAAAGUUUCGGCGGUUGGGGAUGGACUCGCGGCUUAUCAGCUUGUUGGUGGGGUAGUGGCUUACCAAGGUUUUGACGGGUAGCCGGCCUGAGAGGGUGACCGGCCACAUUGGGACUGAGAUACGGCCCAGACUCCUACGGGAGGCAGCAGUGGGGAAUAUUGCACAAUGGGCGAAAGCCUGAUGCAGCAACGCCGCGUGCGGGAUGACGGCCUUCGGGUUGUAAACCGCUUUCGCCUGUGACGAAGCGUGAGUGACGGUAAUGGGUAAAGAAGCACCGGCUAACUACGUG